AUUGAACGCUGGCGGAAUGCUUUACACAUGCAAGUCGAACGGCAGCACGGGGGCAGCCCUGGUGGCGAGUGGCGAACGGGUGAGUAAUACAUCGGAACGUGCCCGGUCGUGGGGGAUAACGUAGCGAAAGUUACGCUAAUACCGCAUACGAUCUGAGGAUGAAAGCGGGGGACCUUCGGGCCUCGCGCGAUCGGAGCGGCCGAUGUCAGAUUCGGUAGUUGGUGGGGUAAAGGCCUACCAAGCCGACGAUCUGUAGCUGGUCUGAGAGGACGACCAGCCACACUGGGACUGAGACACGGCCCAGACUCCUACGGGAGGCAGCAGUGGGGAAUUUUGGACAAUGGGCGCAAGCCUGAUCCAGCCAUUCCGCGUGCAGGACGAAGGCCUUCGGGUUGUAAACUGCUUUUGUACGGAACGAAAAGGCUCUGGCUAAUACCUGGGGCUCAUGACGGUACCGUAAGAAUAAGCACCGGCUAACUACGUG
rnacentral:rRNA from 1 species